UCCCUGGUGGUCCAGUGGCUAAGACUCUGUGCUCCCAAUGCAGGGUCCCGGGUUUAAUCCCUGGUGGGGGAA
rnacentral:tRNA from 1 species